GACGAACGCUGGCGGCGUGCUUAACACAUGCAAGUCGAACGGAAAGGCCCUGCUUUUGUGGGGUGCUCGAGUGGCGAACGGGUGAGUAACACGUGAGUAACCUGCCCUUGACUUUGGGAUAACUUCAGGAAACUGGGGCUAAUACCGGAUAGGAGCUCCUGCUGCAUGGUGGGGGUUGGAAAGUUUCGGCGGUUGGGGAUGGACUCGCGGCUUAUCAGCUUGUUGGUGGGGUAGUGGCUUACCAAGGCUUUGACGGGUAGCCGGCCUGAGAGGGGGACCGGCCACAUUGGGACUGAGAUACGGCCCAGACUCCUACGGGAGGCAGCAGGGGGGAAUAUUGCACAAUGGGCGGAAGCCUGAUGCAGCAACGCCGCGUGCGGGAUGACGGCCUUCGGGUUGUAAACCGCUUUCGCCUGUGACGAAGCGUGAGUGACGGUAAUGGGUAAAGAAGCACCGGCUAACUACGUG
rnacentral:rRNA from 1 species